rnacentral:rRNA from 1 species
AUUUAUUUAUUUUAUUAAGUAAUUUAUUUUAUUAAAUCUUAUUUUUAUGGUUAAAAAAUUAAUAAUGAUUAAUAGUUGUUUAAGUAUAAAAUUUAUGAAAAAAUGAUUUAUUUAUAUUGAAUUAGUAAUUAAUAUGAAAUUUUAUUAUUUAUAAAUUAGAAAAAGUUGAUUUGAAUUAUUGUAUCUUGUGUAUUAGAGUUGAUUAAAUAAAUAUUUAUAAUAAUGAAAAUUUUCGAAAAAAAAAAAAUUAUUUUUUUAUGAUAGUUAAUGUAAUAUAAUUAUUUAAAAUAAAAUAAUCGAAAUGAAAUGUUAUUCGUUUUUUUUUAUAUCUAAUUAUUAAAGAUUUUAAUUUAAUUAAUUUAAAAUUUUAUUAUAUAAUAAAAUUUUAUAUUAUAUAAAUAAUUUAUAAAAAUAAUUUUAGGGAUAAGCUUAAAAAUUAUCUAUAUUUAUAUAUAUAUAUAUAAAUAAUUAAAAAGAAUUUAUAUUUUUUAUUUAUUAUUAAUUAUAAUAUUUAUAUUUAUUUUUUGAUUAAUUUAUUUUUUAUAAGAUUGGAUUAUUAUUUAAUAAAAAUUUAUAAUAAAUAAUAAUUUAUUAUAAUGAUAAAAUUAGUAGUUAUAAAUAUUUAUUUAUUGUAUUAGUUAAUUGUAAUUUAUAUAUUUAUGAAUUAGACAAAUAUAAAAAUAUUAUUCAAUUGUUUAACAAAAACAUUUUUUCUUGAAUUGAUUUGAAAUAAAAUCUGCCCACUGGUAAUAUUUAGACUUAAGGGCUGCAGUAAUUUGACUGUACUAAGGUAGCAUAAUAAAUUGUUUUUUAAUUGAAAACUGGAAUGAAUGAUUAAAUGAAAUAAUUGUUUUAUUAUUUAUAAAUUAAUAAAUUUAAAUUUUAAGUGAAAAUGCUUAAAUUUAAUAAUGGGACGAGAAGACCCUAUAGAUUUUAAUUUUAAUUUUAAAAUUAAUUUUAAAAUUAAAAUUUUAUUGGGGUGAUAAUAAAAUAAAUUUAACUUUUAUAAUUUUUUACAUUAAUUUAUGAAUUGAAUGUAUUUAUUUUAUAAUAAUUUAGAUUAAAUUACCUUAGGGAUAACAGCAUAAUUUUAAUUUAGAGAUUGAUAUUUAAAUUAAAGAUUAUGACCUCGAUGUUGGAUUAAAAUUAAUAUUUAAUGUAUAUGUUAAAUAAUUUAGUCUGUUCGACUAUUAAAAUUUUACAUGAUCUGAGUUCAAACCGGUUUAAGCCAGGUUGGUUUCUAUCUAUUAUAUAUUUAAUUAUUUUAGUACGAAAGGAAUUUUUAUUAUAAUAUUUAUUUAAUUAUA